CCACUCACACAGCAGCAGCAGCAGCACAAUGAUGAUGUCACUGACUCUCCUGCUGGCCACCCUGGGGCUCCUUGUUCAGGGUUCAUCAGGAGAAAUCAUCCUGACUCAGACUCCUGAAGCUCAGUCUGUUGUUCCAGGACAGACUGUCUCUAUCAGGUGUAAAUCCAGCACACUGAUAGGUGAUGACAUAAACUGGUACCUUCAGAAAUCUGGAGAAGCUCCUAAACUUCUGAUCUAUGAUACUACAAUCCGUCAGUCUGGAGUUCCAGAUCGUUUCAGGGCAACAGCAGUUCAGACCGACUUCACUCUGACCAUCAGUGGAGUUCAGGCUGAAGAUGCAGGAGUUUAUUACUGUCAGCAGCACAACAGCUACCCGUUCACACAGUGAAAACCCGUCGUACAAAAACCUCAGACAGCUGGAGAGGAACUGAUCUGACAGCUGCAGUCGCACAAA